GACGAACCGUGCGAACGUUGUUCGGAAUCACUGGGCUUAAAGGGCGCGUAGGCGGCCUGCCAAGUCAGGGGUGAAAGCCCCCAGCUCAACUGGGGAAGUGCCUUUGAUACUGGCGGGCUCGAGCGAGGUAGGGGUCGUGGGAACUUCCGGUGGAGCGGUGAAAUGCGUUGAUAUCGGAAGGAACGCCGGUGGCGAAAGCGCACGACUGGACCUCUUCUGACGCUGAGGCGCGAAAGCCAGGGGAGCAAACGGG
rnacentral:rRNA from 1 species